AAAGUCAUGGUGUUGUUCAUGUGAUUGUUAAUGCACAUAUGGUCUUGGUCAUCCAAACAACCAACCUUCUUGUGUCACAAGCCAAUUGCCAAUCAUGCCACUUGAUUCAUGAAUAUCCCUUUCAAAUCCUAAUCUUAUACCAUCAUUUCAUGGCCUUGUUAACACAUACUACCAGUCAAGUCAUGUUCUUUUCAAAGUCAAGCAUUCAAGUCAUAAAAUAAACCAAUUGUAAAACAAAUUUCAAACCAUUUCAAUUCAUUUCACAUCAUUUC
rnacentral:lncRNA from 1 species